GGAGGGGGAAAUGCUUUAUCGAUCACAAAUAGAAAUUGUCUCAAGAAGCUUCUACUCUCACAAAUAAAAGCUCAGCUGAAAACUGUUGUGAUACUGAAAGCAUAGUAAAUUGAUUCAGAGGAGCGAACAAACCAUUUUUUGAUCAGAAAAUGCCACCAUUCAGCAUUUUUCCUUUAUUAAGCCUUUUUCUCAAAUGUAAUCAAGGACAUCACCAGAAAUAUAAAACUAAUCUUUUCUGGAACUCACUAGUCACUUGGAAAAACCAACGUUUUACUCUGGACCCUGUUCCCAAGUUCUGAGUUGAGCUUCAUUUCAUGUGUGUUUCAGGGCAAGAGUGAUUCUCCCCAAGCAUAGUGGUAAGCUCACCCUUCAGUCUCUGAAGUACAACAAGGGCUAUAUAAUCUUUAACAAGACUAUUCCUAAAAGCAAGCAGAGAAGGAGACCGUAACACAAAAGACUUAGCAUUGAUUGUAGUUGCUUUCUGAACCUACAAUCCCAAGCCACAGUCAAGGAUCUCCUGGUACCAUUUGCUUUUCCCUCAGAUCUUAUCCUUAUCC
rnacentral:lncRNA from 1 species